AGUCACUGACAUUAGAUACCCGUGUAGUCCCAGCCGUAAACUAUGCUCGCUAGGUGUCAGGCAUGGCGCGACCGUGUCUGGUGCCGCAGGGAAGCCGUGAAGCGAGCCACCUGGGAAGUACGGCCGCAAAGGCUAGAAACUUAAAGGAAUUGGCGGGGGAGCACAACAACGGGUGGAGCCUGCGGUUUAAUUGGACUCAACGCCGGACAACUCACCGGGGACGACAGCAAUAUGUAGGCCAGGCUGAAGACCUUGCCUGAAUCGCUG
rnacentral:rRNA from 1 species